ACUAGAUCCAGCAGAUCGUAGCGCAGACGAGGCGGCGGCGGUCCGCGCCCCGACCGGAGGACGGCGUGUCGUGGGAGGUGGAGCCGCGCCGUGGGGCCGGGGACCGGCACGCUUUACGGGAAUCACCCGCACUCCGGUUGGCGCCCCAUCCUGGGUUGUUCCUUGUCUCGCACCUGUAGUUUCCAGGAUAGGCUCCGGACCCCCAGCGAGCCUGCAUAGGACAGCCCUGUGAGCAGGAAUAUCUCAACGAGGCCGGAUCCUCGGCCCUGUGAUCCGUGGCACGGAACGUCACACUCACGCAGAGGGCCAUGAUGUCACAGCGACCUCUUUGGGGACAAGGUCUAAAACCUUCGGCCUGUUCGUCUGGAGGGAGGCCGCCGCAGAAUGGCGGCAGUGAAUUAUUUAGGUGGUUCUGCUGACACUCCCAUCCAUGGCCACUCAACCGUUUGCACAACACAACGUCUAGCAGAGCCGCUUGGAUUUGAUAAACCUCUCAAAGGUACAGCGGAGAAAUCCUUACACUGCUCUGAAUCUGAAAUGUUACACGAUUGAGGUUACAGGUCCAACGGCAACUCAUUUUGCAAGCUACCAAGAAUUAUAAUGUUCAUUUACCUUUAACUGACUUUUAUUUAU